rnacentral:rRNA from 1 species
AUGGAGCUUAGCGAUAAUAGUCUCACCAAUCUGAAAUUCCUUCUGCUUUGUUUCGAAGCGCUCUCAGGUCUUAAAAUCAAUUUCUCUAAGAGUGGGGUUGUAGUGACUGGGGUCUCGGACGAAGAGGCGCAGCGGGUGGCCCAUCUUCUGAACUGUUCUUUGGGAUCCUACCCUCUCAAAUAUCUAGGCCUUCCCAUUUCCCCGCUUAAACUUUUGGCUAAAGACUUCGCACCGGUGGUUACCAAAGUUGGCAACAGAGUUCUCCCUUGGCGAGGGCGAUACAAUACGCAAGCGGGCAAGGUCGCCCAUACUAACUCCUGUCUUUCUUCGCUACCUAUGUUCUUAAUGGGAUUCUAUCUUCUCUCUAGUGGGGUUCAUAAUGGUUUUGACAAGCAUAGGGGUGCUUUCUAUUGGAACGCAGCGGACAAUAAACGUAAGUACAGGAUGGUCAGAUGGGACAUUAUAUGUCGCCCCAAGGCCAAAGGGGGUCUGGGCAUUAUUAAUACGCGAGUGAUGAAUAAUUGUCUUAUGAUCAAAUGGUGGUGGAAGAUU